rnacentral:rRNA from 1 species
UGGGGAAUAUUGCACAAUGGGCGCAAGCCUGAUGCAGCCAUGCCGCGUGUAUGAAGAAGGCUUUCGGGUUGUAAAGUACUUUCAGUCGGGAGGAAGGUGGUAAGGUUAAUAACCUUAUCAAUUGACGUUACCGACAGAAGAAGCACCGGCUAACUCCGUGCCAGCAGCCGCGGUAAUACGGAAGGUGCAAGCGUUAAUCGGAAUUACUGGGCGUAAAGCGCACGCAGGCGGUUGAUUGAGUCAGAUGUGAAAUCCCCGGGCUUAACCCGGGAAUUGCAUCUGAUACUGGUCAGCUAGAGUCUUGUAGAGGGGGGUAGAAUUCCAUGUGUAGCGGUGAAAUGCGUAGAGAUGUGGAGGAAUACCGGUGGCGAAGGCGGCCCCCUGGACAAAGACUGACGCUCAGGUGCGAAAGCGUGGGGAGCAAACAGG